rnacentral:rRNA from 1 species
GACGGGGGGGGGCAAGUGUUCUUCGGAAUGACUGGGCGUAAAGGGCACGUAGGCGUGAAUCGGGUUGAAAGUGAAAGUCGCCAAAAAGUGGCGGAAUGCUCUCGAAACCAAUUCACUUGAGUGAGACAGAGGAGAGUGGAAUUUCGUGUGUAGGGGUGAAAUCCGUAAAUAUACGAAGGAACGCCAAAAGCGAAGGCAGCUCUCUGGGUCCCUACCGACGCUGGGGUGCGAAAGCAUGGGGAGCGAACAGG